GGGGAGCUGUGUCUGAAAGCGAAUGAUUUGCAUUUUAAUUGAAAAAUAAAUGAAAACGGUUUGGCAAAUUCUGAGGUUGCAAAAAAGGCUGAAAGGGCCGGAGUAAGGAAGCCGACGCGCCCCCCUGACUUUCUCUAAGCGUGCGAACAAACGCGCCUGUUUUCAAGUUCCUCGUUUUAGCCUGCUCUUCCUGUUCCGCAGCCUGCGCCAUGCACUUGUGCGCCCUACCCUCGGUCUAACCCUUGACUCAGAGCCGCCUAGCGCGUUUUGAUACGUCUCUUUUAAGUUGAAGGAACUGCCACUAAGUUCAAGGUAACUCCUAGAAGGAAUGCAAAUGAAAUCUCAGCUAAAUGUACUUCAAGUCAGCGGUCGGGGAUAAACGAUAACUAUUGUUCCCCAAGCCUGUUCAUGUGAAAUGUCUGGAUACGCAAGUGCAACCAUAGGAAACCAAUUCUAUACUCGCGAAAAGGGAGGAGAGAGGGAGUGAAGGGAAGUAUGUGUUUAUUUCAGGCCAAAAACCUCUCUCUCUACAGUGUGUUUGCUUGAAUCAUCUGGACCACUUCUUUAAUAACUCCCUCCCUCCGGCGGACGAGUGCGGCCUGUUCGGCUGAGCUGGGAGGCCGGCUGGGUUUAUGUUAAAUGGUGGGAGAGGUCGAGCGGCGGCUAAGUAGAAACUCAAGGGAGAGGGAAGAUCCACGAGCUUGGCACAGCCCGCUCUCGGAGAAGGAAGGUGGGGAGCAGGGAGAGCGUGUCUGUCGGUCUCUCUGUGCCUCCUGUAAAUGCUUUGGGUGGGAGCUGGACCCUUGGCUGUUUCGGCUGACCAGGAAUUAAGGAGCCGAUCUGGGAAGGGUUGGGGUACAGAGAGGCCAAAAACGCCGGAUGGUGCAGAGCGUUGUAGGAUCCUGUGGUCGGCGGCCUCCCAGCGGAGGCCAACACAGAACGUGUGAGGGAAGCGACCAGCGUAGACAGCCUCGUCGGACCUACAACCAAAAAGACCUCAACCUCAAGCCGGGACAUCCCUUGGUGAUCUGCAGAGUGGCCGCACGGCAGCCCUGCCGCACAAUCGCCCAACACGCACUGAGCUCUCUUGGGGGAUACGUGCACUCGAAAGGGAAAGUUCUGGAAGGUCCAAGAAGAUGGAGGAUAUUAAGGUCCAGACAUGUCUGCAACAUCAAUACCGAAUUCAGAAAUGAGAGUAAAUGCAAGAAAACACCAGUGACCUACUAGAGAGAAAAUUGCCUUGAACUGUAGCAAAGCACACAUAACUUCAGCAAAGCACAUAAACGGAACCCACUUGCUUUGAAAUAUCUUCUGGAAAUCGGGAUCUGGCGUGGAAUCACAGGCCUGAGGGAAAGUCCGUGUGUUCCUACAAUGUCCUUACAGAAUAAAAGGCUAGUCCGGUUUGAUCCACCACAUUACACCGUAUCUGAUGUGAACUACCAUGAAAAACUUAUACCUGUAUAAAGAACGCCCAUUAAACACCUUUUAGGUAGUUUUAAG
rnacentral:lncRNA from 1 species